GAUGAACGCUGGCGGCGUGCCUAAUACAUGCAAGUCGAGCGAACAGACGAGGAGCUUGCUCCUUUGACGUUAGCGGCGGACGGGUGAGUAACACGUGGAUAACCUACCUAUAAGACUGGGAUAACUUCGGGAAACCGGAGCUAAUACCGGAUAACAUGUUGAACCGCAUGGUUCAACAGUGAAAGACGGUCUUGCUGUCACUUAUAGAUGGAUCCGCGCCGCAUUAGCUAGUUGGUAAGGUAACGGCUUACCAAGGCAACGAUGCGUAGCCGACCUGAUAGGGUGAUCGGCCACACUGGAACUGAGACACGGUCCAGACUCCUACGGGAGGCAGCAGUAGGGAAUCUUCCGCAAUGGGCGAAAGCCUGACGGAGCAACGCCGCGUGAGUGAAGAAGGUCUUCGGAUCGUAAAACUCUGUUAUUAGGGAAGAACAAAUGUGUAAGUAACUAUGCACGUCUUGACGGUACCUAAUCAGAAAGCCACGGCUAACUACGUG
rnacentral:rRNA from 1 species